GACGAACGCUGGCGGCGUGCUUAACACAUGCAAGUCGAACGGAAAGGCCCUGCUUUUGUGGGGUGCUCGAAUGGCGAACGGGUGAGUAACACGUGAGUAACCUGCCCUUGACUUUGGGAUAACUUCAGGAAACUGGGGCUAAUACCGGAUAGGAGCUCCUGCUGCAUGGUGAGGGUUGGAAAGUUUCGGCGGUUGGGGAUGGACUCGCGGCUUAUCAGCUUGUUGGUGGGGUAGUGGCUUACCAAGGCUUUGACGGGUAGCCGGCCUGAGAGGGUGACCGGACACAUUGGGACUGAGCUACGACCCAGACUACUACGGGAGGCAAGAGUGGGGAAUAUUGCACAAUGGGCGGAAGCCUGAUGCAGCAACGCCGCGUGCGGGAUGACGGCCUUCGGGUUGUAAACCGAUUUCGCCUGAGACGAAGCGUGAGUGACGGUAAUGAGUAAAGAAGCACCGGCUAACUACGUG
rnacentral:rRNA from 1 species